rnacentral:rRNA from 1 species
UACGGAGGGUGCAAGCGUUAUCCGGAUUCACUGGGUUAAAGGGUGCGUAGGUGGCUUUGUAAGUCAGUGGUGAAAUGCCGCAGCUCAACUGCGGAACUGCCAUUGAUACUGCUUAGCUUGAAUCACGUCGAGGUGGAUGGAAUAUUACAUGUAGCGGUGAAAUGCGUAGAUAUCUGGAGGAACACCGGUGGCGAAAGCGACUUUCUGGUCCUUAACUGACGCUGAGGCGCGAAAGCAUGGGGAGCGAACGGG